GUGGAUCGCCACUGCGCCCGCUCUCGCGUUUCCUGUGCCAGGGCGUCUGGAUCAUUAGGGGCGCGUUGUCCUGACUCCGCUCGGCCCCGUGUUUUCCUUGGGUCCUGUCGCAGCCGUCCAGGCUCCGCCUCACUCAUCCCAAGGGGUGGAGUUCGGGGCUGGAAUGGCGAGCGGCGCUUGGGUGCCAGGAGGCCACGUGGGGAAGCAAAGGCGCCUCCUUUCUCCCUCGACUUCCCUUUUUUCAUCGCACGCCUCGCACGCUUUUGCCCGGGCAGGUGACGCCGGGCACCCGCAGGAUAGAGCCAGGAGUCAACUUUUAACUCCACACCACAGUAGGAAGCAGCUAAACAGAAAAAAAAUGGGAUAAAGCUCAGGAUCAACGGCCGCUGUUCCCCCGUCGACUUUGCUUCUGCCUCUCGCUGAGCUGGAGUUCAACAGUCAACGGGAGAGUGCGAUAAAUCGAUCCCUGAUAAAUUGAUCGCUACCCGCUGAUCCGGCUGGAAGUGUAGAUGUACCCUAAGGUGCCACAGGUACUCCUCGUUCUUUUUGCUGAUACAGACUAACAUAGCAACCACUCUGAAACCAUGGAAAUUAGUUUUCUGUCUUCAUUACCGCAAUGUACACCGCACUCUUUUGAAAAUGUAAUUAAAGCAAAGAGUUGUAAAUUGUGUAUUUUAAUGGAUUGCUUAUUCGCCGCCCAAACUUAAAAAAACAAUUCUGUAAUCUAACAAAAGUAAUAGUGUGUGUAUCCUAACAGGAACUAUAAAACUAAUCUAUUGGAG
rnacentral:lncRNA from 1 species